rnacentral:rRNA from 1 species
AUUGAACGCUAGCGGCAUGCUUUACACAUGCAAGUCGAACGAGUGGCGGACGGGUGAGUAAUAUCUGGGAAACUGCCUGAUGGAGGGGGAUAACUACUCGAAACGGUGGCUAAUAACGCAUACCAUUGGAUCUGCCCAUAUGUGAUUAGCUAGUGGGUGGGGUAAAGGCUCACCAAGGCGACGAUCCCUAGCUGGUCUGAGAGGAUGACCAGCCACACUGGAACGGAGACACGGCCCAGACUCCUACGGGAGGCAGCAGUGGGGAAUAUUGGACAAUGGGGGAAACCCUGAUACAGCCAUGCCGCGUGUAUGAAGAAGGCCUUCGGGUUGUAAAGUACUUUCGGCGGAGAAGCGUUACCUGCAGAAGAAGCACCGGCUAACUACGUGCCAGCAGCCGCGGUAAUAC